rnacentral:rRNA from 1 species
UACGUAGGUGGCAAGCGUUGUCCGGAAUUACUGGGCGUAAAGCGAACGCAGGCGGCUGGUUAAGUAAGAAGUGAAAACUCGAGGCUCAACCUCGAGCUGUCGGUGGAAACUGUCUGGCUAGAGUCCGGAAGAGGAGAGUGGAAUUCCUGGUGUAGCGGUGAAAUGCGCAGAUAUCAGGAAGAACACCUAUGGCGAAGGCAGCUCUCUGGGACGGUACUGACGCUGAGACGCGAAAGCGUGGGGAGCGAACAGG